UCAUGGCAUCUUCUGCUCAGAAGUGCGGCAUUCCCCCCCCCCCCCCACCGCUCCCCUAUUCUCCUUGCCUCCAUUUCAUCCUGCCCGGGGGAUCGUCAAGCCCUAGGCAGAAAAAAGCUGCCCUGGACAUAAACGUUUUGCUGACAGAACCAAUCCACAACCCGUGGGCUCCGGAUGAAAGAGCUGGGCCUCUGGGGGCAUCUUCUGGGCUGCAAAAAGGGCCAGGCGGCUCAAAAGCCACUUGAAACAAACACAACAGUGACUCUAAAACGCACCCAUAUGUCACGUUCUUACAGAAAAACACGCUCUGUAAUUAGUUAUAUGCUUUAGAGAAUAAAAUCCAAUUUACCUGUCAAAGAAAAAGGCUGAGCACCCCCACCCCAGACUGCUGGGGCGGGGUGGGGGGAUGCGGCUGGCAGGCCCCCUGCCUCCCCCAGCCCCGACCUUUCUCCUUCUACCUCCUUUAUUUGUUAAGACU